GACGAACGCUGGCGGCGUGCUUAACACAUGCACGUCGCACGAAGUGGCGAACGGGUGAGUAACGCGUAAUCAACCUGCCCUUCAGAGGGGGACAACAGUUGGAAACGACUGCUAAUACCGCAUACUGAAGGAGGGGAUUGCGUCUGAUUAGCUAGUUGGAGGGGUAACGGCCCACAAGGGCGCUGAUCAGUAGACGUGCUGAGAGAAGGAACGGCCAAUUUGGGACGGAUACACGGCCCAGACUCCUACGGGAGGCAGCAGUGGGGAAUCGGCCGCAAUGGACGAAAGUCUGACGGAGCAACGCCGCGUGAGUGAUGACGGCCUUCGGGUUGUAAAGCGCUGUUAAUCGGGACGCGGUACCGGAAUAGAAAGCCACGGCUAACUACGUGCCAGCAGCCGCGGUAAUAC
rnacentral:rRNA from 1 species